rnacentral:rRNA from 1 species
GACAGAGGGUGCAAACGUUGCUCGGAAUCACUGGGCGUAAAGGGCGUGUAGGCGGGAAGGAAAGUCGGGCGUGAAAUCCCUGGGCUCAACCCAGGAACUGCACUCGAAACUUCUUUUCUUGAGUGCCGGAGAGGAAAGCGGAAUUCCUGGUGUAGAGGUGAAAUUCGUAGAUAUCGAGAGGAACAUCUGUGGCGAAGGCGGCCUUCUGGACGGUGACUGGA